rnacentral:rRNA from 1 species
CUAAGGCUCCAGAGGAAGCCACGGCUAACUCUGUGCCAGCAGCCGCGGUAAUACAGAGGCGGCAAGCGUUGUUCGGAAUUAUUGGGCGUAAAGAGCACGUAGGCGGCCUUGCAAGUCAGUUGUGAAAGCCUUCCGCUUAACGGAAGAAUGCCAGCUGAUACUACAGGGCUUGAGUACGGGAGGGGAGAGUGGAACUUCUGGUGGAGCGGUGAAAUGCGUAGAUAUCAGAAGGAACGCCGGCGGCGAAAGCGACUCUCUGGCCCGAAACUGACGCUGAGUGUGCGAAAGCUAGGGGAGCAAACGGGAUUAGAUACCCCGGUAGUCCUAGCCGCAAA